AUUGAACGCUGGCGGAAUGCUUUACACAUGCAAGUCGAACGGCAGCACGGGUGCUUGCACCUGGCGGCGAGUGGCGAACGGGUGAGUAGUACAUCGGAACGUACCCUGACGUGGGGGAUAACGUAGCGAAAGUUACGCUAAUACCGCAUACGUCCUGAGGGAGAAAGCAGGGGAUCGUAAGACCUUGCGCGUUAGGAGCGGCCGAUGGCGGAUUAGCUAGUUGGUAGGGUAAAGGCCUACCAAGGCGACGAUCCGUAGCGGGUGUGAGAGGACGACCCACCAGACUGGAACUGAGACACGGUCCAGACUCCUACGGGAGGCAGCAGUGGGGAAUUUUGGACAAUGGGCGAAAGACUGAUCCAGCCAUUCCGCGUGAGUGAAGAAGGCCUUCGGGUUGUAAAGCUCUUUCGGCAGGGAAGAAACGGUUUUGGAUAAUACCCAGAACUAAUGACGGUACCUGAAGAAGAAGCACCGGCUAACUACGUGCCAGCCGCCGCGGUAA
rnacentral:rRNA from 1 species